AACGAACGCUGGCGGCAGGCUUAACACAUGCAGGUCGAACGCCCCGCAAGGGGAGUGGCAGACGGGUGAGUAACGCGUGGGAACAUACCCUUUUCUACGGAAUAGCUCUGGGAAACUGGAAUUAAUACCGUAUACGCCCUACGGGGGAAAGAUUUAUCGGGGAAGGAUUGGCCCGCGUUGGAUUAGCUAGUUGGUGGGGUAAAGGCCUACCAAGGCGACGAUCCAUAGCUGGUCUGAGAGGAUGAUCAGCCACAUUGGGACUGAGACACGGCCCAAACUCCUACGGGAGGCAGCAGUGGGGAAUAUUGGACAAUGGGCGCAAGCCUGAUCCAGCCAUGCCGCGUGAGUGAUGAAGGCCUUAGGGUUGUAAAGCUCUUUCACCGAUGAAGAUAAUGACGGUAGUCGGAGAAGAAGCCCCGGCUAACUUCGUG
rnacentral:rRNA from 1 species